rnacentral:rRNA from 1 species
GAGUAAGGGUGCUCAGCGCCCGACCUCCACCCUUUGUUGUUAAAACUACCUUGUUGCUUUGGCGGGACCGCUCGGUUCCGAGCCGCUGGGGAUUCGUCCCAGGCGAGUGCCCGCCAGAGUUAAACCAAACUCUUGUUAUUAAACCGGUCGUCUGAGUUAAAAUUUUGAAUUAAAUCAAAACUUUCAACAACGGAUCUCUUGGUUCUCGCAUCGAUGAAGAACGCAGCGAAAUGCGAUAAGUAAUGUGAAUUGCAGAAUUCAGUGAAUCAUCGAAUCUUUGAACGCACAUUGCGCCCCUUGGUAUUCCGAGGGGCAUGCCUGUUCGAGCGUCAUUACACCACUCAAGCUAUGCUUGGUAUUGGGCGUCGUCCUUAGUUGGGCGCGCCUUAAAGACCUCGGCGAGGCCUCACCGGCUUUAGGCGUAGUAGAAUUUAUUCAAUUAACGUCUGUCAAUGGAGAGGACUUCUGCCGACUGAAACCUUUAUUUUUUACAGGUUGACCUCGGAUCAGGUAGGGAUAC